AAUACCCGACCAAAGAAACUCCACAUCAUGUACCACCACGAGGAUGGGAAGUUCCACUCAGGUUUCCUAGGAUGAUUUCAAUUUAAGCAAGAUGGUUCAGGAAUCUGUCACUUCCAGCCCACUCCCAUUCUCCUGCCCACCCACCCAUUUCUACCACCAUUUCCAGAAAGGAGGCAGGGGGAGGAUCCGGCAAAGGCUGGACCUCGGUGUACCGGAGACUGGACAGAGAAAGAAGCAUUUCUGGAUCUGGGAUGGAAGGGGAGUGCUGGGGAGUGAAUCCAGGACCUGGUACACGCAGGGCAAGGGGCUCUGCCACUGAGGUACCCCCAGCCCCUGAGGAUGCAUUGUGACAGGCACAACCCUGGACUGGCAUCUCUUGGGCUAUAGCCCCACAGGGUGGGGCUUCAUCUCUU